rnacentral:rRNA from 1 species
GUCUUUGCCAUCCUAUUGCUCAACGCUGAUCUAGGGUCGUGCAGCUGCUUCAAACGCAUCUUCACCUUCGGCGACUCCAUCACUGAUGCCGGCAACUUCGCGUACACCGGUCGUAACAAUAAGAAUCCGGGUCCACCUUCGGUGCCCCCUUAUGGAGAGACCUACUUCCACCAUCCCACGGGACGUGCCUCCGACGGGCGUCUCAUCGUCGACUUCUACGCGCAAGCGUUGGGCCUGCCGCUGCUGCCGCCGAGCCUGCCCAAGGAGAACACGGGCCAGUUCCCGGCCGGCGCCAACUUGGCCUUGUACGGUGCCACGGCGCUAAACCCGAACUUCUUCAAGAGGUAUAAAUUCGGCGUGCCGUUUUCUUGGAGCCUCGAUGAUCAGCUGGCUACAUUCAAGAAAGUGCUGGCACGGAUUGCUCCGGGAGAUGCUGCCACCAAGAGCCUACUGAGCGAGUCGCUGAUCGUGUUUGGUGAGAUCGGCGGCAACGACUACAACUUCUGGUUCUUCGCAGGACACGGCGAUGACACACACACGCCCGAGCAGUACAUGCCCGACGUGAUUGCCCGCAUAGGCGACGGCGUCCAGGAGGUGAUCAACCUCGGUGCCAAGACGGUCCUUGUCCCGGGGAACUUCCCCAUCGGGUGUGUGCCGGCGUACCUGAGUGGUAACAAGAGCAACAAGUCGGCGGACUACGAUCAGUACCACUGCCUCAAGCGGUUCAACGACUUCUCCCAAAUGCAUAAUCAGUUGCUGAAGCAGGAGGUCGGCAAGCUCAAGUCGCUCAACGCCGACGUGAAGAUCAUCUACGCCGACUACUAUGGUGCUUUCAUGGAGUUCGUCAAGAAUCCCAGUAGGUAUGGCAUUGACGACCCUCUGGUGGCGUGCUGUGGUGGCAAUGGCCCCUACGGCACCGGCCAUACGUGCAACCAGACGGCGAGGCUUUGCCCCGACCCGUCCAGGUUCGCCAGCUGGGACCAGGUCCACAUGACAGAGAAGGCGUACAACGUCAUUGCCAAUGGGGUGCUCAACGGCCCGUACGCCGACACACCGUUGCUCCACGUUUGCUAG